CGUGCGAACGUUAUUCGGAAUCACUGGGCUUAAAGGUCGCGUAGGCGGGCUCGUCAGUCAGGGGUGAAAUCCCACGGCCCAACCGUGGAAGUGCCUCUGAUACUGCGGGCCUCGAGGGGGAUAGGGGCGUGCGGAACUCAGGGUGGAGCGGUGAAAUGCGUAGAUAUCAAGCGGAAGACCAGUGGCGAAGGCGAGUCCCUGGACAACUCCUGACACUGAGGCACGAAAGCUAGGGGAGCAAACAGG
rnacentral:rRNA from 1 species